rnacentral:rRNA from 1 species
UACGUAGGGUGCGAGCGUUGUCCGGAAUUACUGGGCGUAAAGAGUUCGUAGGCGGUUUGUCGCGUCGUUCGUGAAAACUUGGGGCUUAACUCCAAGCGUGCGGGCGAUACGGGGCAGACUUGAGUACUACAGGGGAGACUGGAAUUCCUGGUGUAGCGGUGAAAUGCGCAGAUAUCAGGAGGAACACCUGUGGUGUAGACGGCUUU